GCUACUUUUAAAGGCUGUAUCUAGACUGAUUUUGGGUUAAUGCUAUACCAGAAUGAGUGUGGCUGUGUGUACCUGAUACUUAGCUGGAGAUAUUUAACCUUGUGUUGUCUAUAAAGGUCAUGAUUUUCUGUGCAGUGGUCAGUAGACUGUCAUUCUUACCUGAUACACUUGGCCUUCUUGUGCCUGAGAGGGAAGUGCGUCUGUAAGUAUUCCCAUCAGUGUAUCCCUCUCUGAAGGUGACUUAAUGCUAGAAUUAUUGCCUACUUUGCCACAUUACACAUUAUAUCAGUGCAGCCUUCACUAAGGGUGGCAUCCCUAGCUGUGAAGAGCGGCUUUCACAAGUAACCUUGGCUCUAUACUCUCGGCCUCUUUAACUGUUUCACAGCACUUUGGUGGGCUGGACCGCUGAGGUCACACAGUCAAGUCUGCAGCUUGAGACAUUUGUUAAUACUGUAACAGAUUAGACGUGGCUUGCAUGGACUCCAUAAAGCUUUGGCUGCUAGACAGUCUACCCUCUGUAGGUACCUGUCCCAGUUGGUGUACUGAAAAAAGUGUUUGGUGUUGAGCUGACUGAUGGCUGUGACUUGUCUGAAUAUUUGAAUGUACUUUGGUUCUCUUCUUUGGAGAAUAGGCCUUGCCAUGAUUUUACAGGCAAUGAUGCUUAACAGGUUUUCAGAAACUUGCAGUGUCAGACAGUUGACAAGAAUUUCAAUUACUUGUAGAAAGAGCCAUCCUGCCUUUUGCAGCUGUGUUUGCAACUGCCUCCAUUAAUAAGCAACUUUAAUGCCUUUCUCUGAGUGAUCUAGAAAUGGUUUGGUAGAUGUCGCACCUGUGUUGCCAGUGAGAUGGAAAUUAGUGGAAAUGAAGGCAAUGCAGAGACAUCUAGUUUGAACACCUCCGUUUGGAAUUAGAAACAGUGUGUAGCCCAGAGUUCCUGAGAAGACUUCCAGACUUCAUGAGGUUCUAUUGAUGGCUGCCAUCCUGCCUUUAUUAAUUACAGUCCUAUCCAAACUGCAUUCCAGAUCCAAUGAAGUAAUGGACUGUCAACGCCAUGUUCAUGAUGUUACUACUCUAAUAGUCACUGAGGCAGCAACACAAACCAUUCAACUCUGCUGGAGGUUGAAGCUAGCAUGUAGCAUAAGGGAAGAAGUGGUCUUAUGCUUCAAAAAUACAGUAUACUGAGUAUACUUAAAGGUAUUUUUUCUGUGCUUAACUGUUGUGACAAGACAACUUACGUGUGUACUUUUAGUGUGCUGUAAGUUUCAGCAAUCAUUUUACUGGAAGCAGCUUUACAGUGAGCUUUAGCAUUCUUAUAUCCUCCAUUUAACACUGACCAUGUAGGACUUUUCUCUGUAGGUAUGAAUUUGAGACAUUAGCCGUUUCUUUGUGUGCAAGGGGAGUUAGGAAAAUACUUUGGGAAAGAAAUGAUUACAAGGAAGUCUGCAAACCUGCAGGCAAUUCCAUAGGGUUUUGCCGGUUUCCAGUAAUGCAAAAUAGUACAAAAAUGGACAGCCACACAGUUGAGACAUGGUUUGUAGUAACAUGUCAUUUUAAAGAAUCAUAGAGUGCAUUGAGUUGGAAAGAACAUUAAAAGUCACCUAGUUCCCAAAGACCCUGCUGUCGGCAAGGAACCUCCCGGUAGACCAGGAUGCUCAGUCCCAUCCAGCCUGGCCUUGAACACUUCCAGGAUUUCUUUUGGGUGCAACCUGAAAUGCUGAAAGCUGUAACUUCAUAGAAAGUCACAGACUGGUCAUGUUUAUUUCACUGAGACUGCCCAUUGCAAUCUCUGGGUGUGGUGCCAUGUGCUAAUGGAAUGUGUGUGCAAAUAGAUCAGAUCUGGGGAAGGGGAAGUGGUAGAUUAAUCCAAGUUUAAAAGGUGAUUUUAUACUAGAAUUUAUAUUAUUAUUAUUCCUAUAUUGUUGUGUUUAUAGACUUGAUUAAUACUCCCUUUAAGUAGUUUACUGUUAGAUUUCUGCCAUCCUUUACAACCUCAAGGCAAGAGCCUGAAAACAGCUUUUGCAAGCUGAUGAUGAUAGGAGGCUUUUACCAUAAGACUGCUUCAAGAAAAAUAAUCUAAAAUCUUCAUACUUGAAGAAGUGUUUCUCAAGUCUGUAUCAAAUGCUUUGGUUGCUGUCAAAUAUCAUUGUUCUUGUAACAUAUACAUUGCCACUGUGCAAACUCCGAUGUUAGCUGAAAUUAUUUUACAUGUUGAAAUGACCUUUCCAAUAUCAGCUUUCUUCUGUCCUGUUCAGAGUUCUGGACUGAGUCAAAUUGAUAUGGUUUAUUAACAUGAAAUGUGUUUCAUCACAGAUUAGGUCUUCAUGUUUGAUUUUCAAAUUUGCGGCUUUCUUAAUUAGAUACCUUGGCCUAAGUAAUUUAAAUGCUUAGGACCCUUAUUUAAGGACACAUUAAGAUGCGGUAGCAUCUAGCAGGCUCUUUCAUGCCUGAAUGCCCCAAGUAGAGAAGCUUUAUGGAGUGUAAACUCCUCAAAGGGUGGCUUUGGAAUUCCAUGCUUUAAUUGUAGUUGCAUGUUAAUGGCUAAACUAUUGAAAGAUAGCUGUGUCUGUACUAAGUGUUUUGGGGUUUUUUUUGAGUAAUCAAAGUACUGUGAUUUUAUAAUUGACUUAAGUAGCUGAGCUACAGUAGAUGACAACCUCCAUGGCUAAAAGGAUGGUGAUGAGAACCCCUUGCUAAUUUCACUUGCAUUAUUCUCUGUCCUCUAUUAGCAACUUAAUUAUCUUAUAGCAAACUCCCUUUUGUUUAUGUUGCAGUGGAAACAGUGGAUGCUGUGUGCCUUUGAGCCUCAAAUCUUGUGUUCUCUGGAACCCUUUCUGCAGAUAAAAUGCGUAUAUGAGUCACUUGUUUUCUUG